rnacentral:lncRNA from 1 species
AUUUUUGACUGAAAAGGAAAGACCAAGUAUUUUGUUAACGACAGGCUAUGCUGUGUCACGACACGAUUCCAAGCCUGGACUCUUAUAUUUAUUUAAAACUCUUUUAAUUUCUCUUUCUUCUCUUCCCCUCUGUCUGUGUGUCCGUUAGAGUAGACAGAUGGCAGGAAUAGGUCUGUAGUCCUUCAGGAAGCCAGCAGCCUGGAGCUGGAAAUGGGCUCCUCUCAUUCGAGUUGCCUUCAACAGAAAGUGAGAAGUUUUUUCGGCUUGGGUUUUUUUUUUUCUUUACAUAUAGCAAAAGACCAAAUUAGCUGUAUAGUCUUGGAUACAGAAUAUAAGAAUUACUCUAGCUGUCCUAGCACUUAGGGUCCUGUGGGGAUUCCGUGUUUAGCACAGUGCCUGGCUCAUAGGGAGCCUAGUGAAUGUUCAAUAUUGAUAUUAGUAGUAUAUCAUAAAACUUGAGAAAUAAAGAGCUGCGCUCACCCCCUAUCUGUUGAUUCAGACAUGAUGGUUACAUAGAAACCUUGUUGAGUCGAUCAGAUGCUAUAGGAAUUAACUGUUUCAAUUGUUUAAGCUCUGUGCCUACCCUGCUCGCUGGAAUUCUAGUGUCUUCUCGAAUGCACUGAGUAAUUGGGAAAUUUGCCAGUCUUCAGCACUCUGUGAAACAAGGCUGAAUUUAUUACCUGAAAUUGAACCACCAAUAUGUUCUGGAACAUUCCAGGGGUUUCUUUGAGGGACCUUUUGAGCUCAAAAUUAAAAGUUCUCUCACAAGUUUCACUCCGUGAAUUAGAGUUUAAUUUUUACUCCGCUAUAAUGCAAUAAUAGAAUUUUCAAUUUGUUCAACGGAAAGAGGGAGCAACUGAAUCUACAGCCCCCAGGAAAUCCCUUUGCUGCCCCCUGCUGGACAGGAUGGCUCCCAGCAGGCUGGUUACACCUCUGCCACAUUCCCAUCCUACCCAAGAUUAAUCCUGUGAGUGGCCCAAAAACUCUCCUACCACCACCCCCAAAGGAGCCAUGUGAGACCCCACGGCUGAGAUUUUGACUUCUUUCAGAACUGGUCACUUAAAUACCAGUUUGCUGUUAGUUUUGUAUGGCUUUAGCCUCUAUCCUGAUAGAGCAACUGUGGGUGGCGAGUUGCUGGUAUGGAAUGGAGAGGCGAAAUUUCUGAAGUCCAGUUUGCUUUUCUGAUUCCUCUCACGUCUCAGCAGAUCAAUGACUUGACAGUUCAUGGAAUGAAAGUAUUGAAUUUACCUCUCUCAGAGUUUCACUCUUCCCCAGAUUUUGUGGCACUUAAGGCUGUCCUAAUCACACACACACACACACACACACACACACACUUACUUUCUCUCUCUCUCUCUCUCUCUCUCUCUCUCUCUCUCUCUCUCUCUCCACCCGCCACAGCUGGAGCACACGCUGGGGUCGGGGGUAGUUGCCUGUGGAAGCCAGCGUGGGUAGGAGAUACACAAGGAGCAUUGCAAGGUAACAGGCCAGGGGUGUGAACUCAGUCUACAGCUCCCACAGAAGCCGGAAUGUAGCAGAUAUGGGAAGCAGAUUUGUUUUUGCUUAGAGCUUAGCCCAUGUAUUAAAGAGAAUAGUGUAACCACAAUGCCAAAGGACAUGGUGAUGUCCCUUCCACUGUAGUUCCUGUCACAACCUUGCUGUUAAGCUCAUGGCCGUUGACGUCUGUGUCUUCAAAUGGAUCCUGGUUCGCUUGUUUUCUACUGUCACUUCUAGGGUUAAGUCACAGGAUCCUGCAAAUGAGGUGUCGCUGUCCCCGGAUUUACUGUACAAGGCAAAAAGGACACUACUUUGUUUUCCUGUGUUGUAGAGAAACUAGGGAGAACUUUAUUUUUCAAUAAACUUUUCUUGUGUG